GGUCGAGCGGGGGAAGGUAGCUUGCUACUGGACCUAGCGGCGGACGGGUGAGUAAUGCUUAGGAAUCUGCCUAUUAGUGGGGGACAACAUCUCGAAAGGGAUGCUAAUACCGCAUACGUCCUACGGGAGAAAGCAGGGGAUCUUCGGACCUUGGCGCUAAUAGAUGAGCCUAAGUCGGAUUAGCUAGUUGGUGGGGUAAAGGCCUACCAAGGCGACGAUCUGUAGCGGGUCUGAGAGGAUGAUCCGCCACACUGGGACUGAGACACGGCCCAGACUCCUACGGGAGGCAGCAGUGGGGAAUAUUGGACAAUGGGGGGAACCCUGAUCCAGCCAUGCCGCGUGUGUGAAGAAGGCCUUAUGGUUGUAAAGCACUUUAAGCGAGGAGGAGGCUACUUUAGUUAAUACCUAGAGAUAGUGGACGUUACUCGCAGAAUAAGCACCGGCUAACUCUGUGCCAGCAGCCGCGGUAAUACAGAGGGUGCGAGCGUUAAUCGGAUUUACUGGGCGUAAAGCGUGCGUAGGCGGCUUAUUAAGUCGGAUGUGAAAUCCCCGAGCUUAACUUGGGAAUUGCAUUCGAUACUGGUGAGCUAGAGUAUGGGAGAGGAUGGUAGAAUUCCAGGUGUAGCGGUGAAAUGCGUAGAGAUCUGGAGGAAUACCGAUGGCGAAGGCAGCCAUCUGGCCUAAUACUGACGCUGAGGUACGAAAGCAUGGGGAGCAAACAGGAUUAGAUACCCUGGUAGUCCAUGCCGUAAACGAUGUCUACUAGCCGUUGGGGCCUUUGAGGCUUUAGUGGCGCAGCUAACGCGAUAAGUAGACCGCCUGGGGAGUACGGUCGCAAGACUAAAACUCAAAUGAAUUGACGGGGGCCCGCACAAGCGGUGGAGCAUGGUGGUUUAAUUCGAUGCAACGCGAAGAACCUUACCUUGGCCUUGACAUACUAGAAACUUUUCCAGAGAUGGAUUGGUUGUCUUCGGGAAUCUAGAUACAGGUGCUGCAUGGCU
rnacentral:rRNA from 1 species